rnacentral:snoRNA from 1 species
AAAGAGUGAUGACAAAAUGUUUCGGUCCCAGAUGAUGGUUCCUGAUUACUUAAUGAGAUCACCUGAUUUU